rnacentral:lncRNA from 1 species
UUGCGAUUGAUAUUUGAGUGCUCUGUACAGCAGGGCCAGAUCAUGUGUAGAACACUUCGUUGAGCUGUGUAAGUUUUGCUCAGUGUGGAACAUUUUCCGUUUAAUUCAAAACAAAACAUAAACAAUAACAUUGCGUGAAAUGUCAUGUCAACGUCAGAGCUGCCAGUUGAUGACAUUUCGAUCUGUCAUUUUUGACAGUGAACCGGCCGUGCCGAGGGGUCAUAAAAAGGUUGAGUCAUGGUUCAGAGCCUACUGUGUAGUCUUUUAUUAGUCUAUGGCUCAAUCAUCAAAACCGCAGAGUCAUCUGGUGGGCUGACAUCUAAGUUUUCGAGCUUUUCAAUGCCCGCACCCAAUGAAACAAAAUAUGCGCGCACGCACAAAGUCACACAUGGUAGUGAUGUUGUUUUUCGUUCAUCUCUUUCGCACUGUUUUGACCAAAUUUUGACAGAGCGAGGAAAACAUUCAGCGAAAUGGCGAGCAAGUUUUGGAAUUUCAUGAAUAUUAAUCACACACAAAGAAAAAAUACUCUGAAUUUAAAAAGAUCACUCGUUGGAUUAAAAGUUCGCGUUGGCUUAUAUUCGUAGAAAGUUCAAACUUUUCAAUUUAAAAGUUGGAAAGUUUUUGAUACUACCACAAAAUCGUUGUAUCGGUAAAAGUGUUUUACUUUUAAUUGGAAAAGAAACCUUUUAUAGCAAGAAUAAACAACAUUUAAUACACUGAAAGAAACCAGCAUAGUAAUCUCAAGUGAUUUUUCACGUGAGAGUCUCCAAAAAUCAACACGAUAAAUUCACGUGCUUUUCUCAUGGCUCUCACAUGUUUUACAUUUUAAAUGGAUGUGAAAAUAAUUUAAAACCAGCUGAUCGUUAGCGAGCAAACAUCCACUCUUUUUUCGCAUGAAUUUCACUCCAGGUUCAAAUGAAUUUCACAUCGAUUGGCCCCAUUCGACAUUUCCUUUGAUUUCGAAGUGAAAAUCACGUUAAAAUGAAAUGCUUUGGUUUUAGAAUGUGUUUGGCGAAAAAUUCUUCAUUAGUAAGAUGGCCACGGACGAAGGUGGUUCAAAAAUUGCGUUCGGUAUUCAACAUUUUAUUCAGGAAACAAAUUUCCUGAGUUAUUUUAAAUAUUGUGGUUUAAACUUGAGCUUUAACGCUGGUGGUAAGAAAACAGAAAGGAAACAGUUAAGUUUUUCGAAAUAAAUGCAGGGUAAUUUUUUUUUUGCAGAAGAUCAAAUUCCGGUCAUCUUUGGAAUCUGCUCCUGAUCUGGAGCUACAAGGUUGCAAGUUAAGCUCGGUUACGAUGGUGUUAUGUGGAUCUACCACAGGUGGCGCAAGUUUUGGCCAUAAAUUGUCAUCAAGGUGCUCAAAUAUUAUGCCCUGCUGGACCGGUGAACCGCUACGGUCAAGUCGUUUCCAGAGGGCUCAAGCUGACCGAGCAAAAAUGAUCCAAGACGAUCAAGUACUUCUCGAUCUGAUCCGUAGUCCGUCCUUGAUGUUCAUUGUGAAUCUAGAGAAGCUCCGCUUUCAACCUUUUAAUCGGGCCUCACGUUUAAUUUCGUCUGUGGUUUAAUAUCAGUGAAGCCAAAUGUGUUCUGUUAUGUGAUAUAAACAUUUUAAAAAAUAAAAUAAAUAAUUAAAGUUGUAUUUAAAUGAAUUCGUGAAAUAAAUUUAUUUGAAGAAAUUUCCUUUUAUUUUUAAGACACCUAAAAACCACUAGAGAACCAUUUGUUUUCCACUAAAAAAUCAUUGCAAAUUUAUUAGAAAAUAUUUCCAAAUUCAUGUGCGUCAUCACAUGAAACUAACGUGUUUUUCAUUUGAAUUUACCAUGUGGUGCUAUGAAAAUUUUGUAUGUGAUUUACAAAUGACAUUCACAUGCGAAGUCGAAUGGGGCGGAUUCAUGUGCAAAACAUGUGAUGUUACUAUGUGCCUUUCUUUCAGUGUACUACAGUGUUAAUUUCAUAAAAAUGUGCUUGAUUCUAGGCUUGAUUUUAUAUUUAUUUUUAAAAGUUUUAAACAGUAUGUUAAAUAAGACAUUUUGUUUUUGUAUUUAACGCUUCUGGCCAAAAUCCGAGUCCAAGCUGUACCGAUUCUUACACGGAAACUAAAAUCAUGAUUGAUUAUAUAUGCCAACGGCACAUAACUGUAUCUCAGAUCAGCUUAUUAAAACUUAUGAAUUGUCAUUAUGAACUUCGUGUACCACAUAUAAAUUUGAAUAACAAUCAUCAUAGAUUUUAUAUGCGUAUCGCACAUAACCGAGUUUGCUUCCUUCCUAACAAAAAAUAUUGUUUACGCAAAUAAACUUUGUGAGCAUUGCAUAUAAGUUGUAUGUGCGCGAUGCUAUCGAGAAAUUAAAAGUGAGAGUGUGUGCAACAUGGAGUUAAACUUUCUGUGAAGUUGCUGUGAAGAUUACCAUGGCACUUUGAAAAGUUUAACUCCAUGUUGCACGCACACACUCUCACUUUUAAUUUCUCGAUAGAUUUUUGCUGUAUGCUUUUACACAUAAAAUUUACAUGCAAUGCUCACAACAUUUAUGUAUGCGUCUCGGUAUGCGGCCAUAAAACGUUUUUUUCUGAACAAGAUGGCGAAAAUUGGAAAAAAAUUUUAGUCGAGGGUUUUGUGCCAACAUUUAUUGGCAUUUUUCAAUAGUCAAAUUGUUUAAAAGCCUACUGCUAGAUCUAGGGUAGAUAAAUUCAACGCCACGUUGGAGUUGCUCCAAUCCAGCUCCUUUAACCGGAUCUCCCGCCAAAGUGUAAAAAGUGGUUCUCGCAGGCGGACAUUGGCGCCGUCGCUAAAAGCCGCUAAACCUCGUUGUUUGGACGUUCGACUCGCGUGAAGAAGCGGGUUUGAAACGGCGUGAAUCGACGAUCCGUCGGAAAGUCGACUUCCGUGACAGGCAAACCCAGCAUAAGUUUUCCGGAUCAAAGAUGUUCAAAGCUUGCGGUGCUGAGGCCGAUUCCUCAGAUUGGUCAGGUUCUGAAGAUGAACCCCGUUGGCGAGAUCGGGUCUAGCAACAAGAAGGCCGUCGAUCUACAUGCCGGUGCUGAAUUGAAAGGCCACCUGAAGGUCAAAAUCCGACUGGUCCACGAGAAGACGAAGUAACGUCACCGAACACGAGCGAAACGGCCAUGCUGGCUCAGGAAAGCUCGGGCGCUUCUUUGGCAGCACGUCGGACACGACCCGGUGCCGGCGGAGCAAGUGAUGGAGGAAGUGGAAGAAACUGAAUCUUCAAGCUGCUCGACGUGAUUUCUUGUGGUACAAAACGCAAUUGUUUUAAAAAAAAGUAUUUGAAAAAAAUUUCAACAAUACAUUAUAAGAAUUUUUUAAUAUUGGAAGAAAGUUUAAUCAGCAAUUCAACAUUAGGAAUAGUAAAUGAAAACAAAAUACACCACUCUUGAUAAUCAAAAGAAAAAUACAUUGAAAAUUAUGAAUUCUGCACAUACAACUUAUAUGUGGGUGCAUAUCGCCAAAUGUUUUAUUCUGUGAGCAUUGCAUAUACUUUUCAUGUGUCGUGAACAUUUGUAACCAGUGGUUCGGUUAGCUUCAAGAGUGGUGAGACUGUUGUUCCGCGACGCGUAAAUUAGCAUGCCGAAAGGGAACCCUGUGAAAGCUGGAGAGCGGAACAUCCCCACUCGAGUAGCUGUCCAACGCCAAUGGACGCUACCAACGCUGCACGCUGGAGUAGUUGCGCUAGUCACCACCAGAAAGCGCCACGAGAAGGACAAUGGAUUCGUUAGGGCGAAAUAGGAUGAGAAUGGGGCGAAACGGGAAGGAUGGAUGAGGUUGAGGAUCGCUGGAGAAACUGCGCCAUUGGAUCGAUCACUUGCCUGGUAAUUUAAGAAGUGGACGGUCGAACCAGCUACGUUCGCCGUCAAGUGAGAGUGAAGUGGAACCGGCGCGGAAGACCGGAAGAAAAGGGUCCGUCGAUCGGAAGAUCCGGACGAGCUGCAGGAGAACCUGCGCAGAAACUGGACAACCAGGUAGAGGACGAUCCCAAAACAACAAAUCCUCGAAACAGCCAACCCAUCUCCUUUCCGCCAUCUUCUAACGCUGCCCCAUUGUGCCCUACAGACCCCUCGGUGUGUACGCUUCGCGUACCGAUCGGCCAGCCCAACCCUGGGUGCCGGAAGCCCGUGUGACCCACACGACACCCGCAGUGUCCCCUACGGCGAUCGUCACGUCAGACGAUCGCAACUCUACACCGUUCCGGUGUGGGAACUGCCGGUCGCGACGCCGCCAUUUUGUUCCGAGGAACAUCCCAGUCGCGACCAUAACCGCCACCGAAUCUGCCAUCCGUUACAACCCGACGACGCCGGAAACCAGGCAAUCCGGUGGACUUGUCCACCGAAGUCCUGGGUCCGUCAACAAACCCAGGAGCGUCGAGGCAGAAGGCGAGGAGAGGGUCCGAGUACGAGCUCAAGCAGCUGACCGUGAGCACGAAGAGCAGAAGAAGGCGUUCCGCUCCGGUGGAGUGUGCCCCGGAUGCGUGGAGGCGACAACGACGGCGAGUAGCAGAAGCCGGCGAGAACGAGCAGCGGCAGCAGUGACAGUUCCGGAAAGGGGCCCCAAGGAAGAAGGAAGAAGAGGACGUGUGAGGUAGGACUAGAUCAAGGAAGUGGGAAGGACAAGGAAGUGCAGCUUGAGUCUGCCAAAUAGAACUAUCGCGCGAGUACCGCAAUAAAGUGGGUGUUUGUUCAACGGUA